UCUCGGCAACGGAUAUCUCGGCUCUCGCAUCGAUNAANAACGUANCGAAAUGCGAUACCUGGUGUGAAUUGCAAAAUCCCGCGAACCAUCGAGUCUUUGAACGCAAGUUGCGCCCGAGGCCACUCGGCCGAGGGCACGCCUGCCUGGGCGUCACGCCAAAACACGCUU
rnacentral:rRNA from 1 species